AUACGAAGGGGGCUAGCGUUGUUCGGAAUUACUGGGCGUAAAGCGCGCGUAGGCGGAUUGGUCAGUUAGGGGUGAAAUCCCAGGGCUUAACCCUGGAACUGCCUCUAAUACUGCCAGUCUUGAGUUCGGGAGAGGUGAGUGGAAUUCCUAGUGUAGAGGUGAAAUUCGUAGAUAUUAGGAAGAACACCAGUGGCGAAGGCGGCUCACUGGCCCGAUACUGACGCUGAGGCGCGAAAGCGUGGGGAGCAAACAGGAUUAGAAACCCUUGUAGUCC
rnacentral:rRNA from 1 species